UAUCUCUGUAGAGUCUGCAUAUCAAUAAGCGGAGGAAAAGAAGACUAACAAGGAUUCCCUUAGUAACGGCGAGUGAAGCGGGAAGAGCUCAAAUUUGAAAUCUUCAAGGUUCUACCUUGACGAAUUGUAGUUUAAAGAAGUGUUUUCUGUUAGAUGAGUAGCAAAAGUUCCUUGGAAUGGGACAUCAUAGAGGGUGAGAAUCCCGUAUUUGGUUAUUCAUUCUAGCUUUGUGAUACACUUUCAAAGAGUCGGAUUGUUUGGGAAUGCAGUCCAAAAUGGGUGGUAAAUUUCAUCUAAAGCUAAAUAUUGGCGAGAGACCGAUAGCGAACAAGUACCGUGAGGGAAAGAUGAAAAGAACUUUGAAAAGAGAGUUAAACAGUACGUGAAAUUGUCAAAAGGGAAGCGUUUGACACCAGUGCUGUUUUUCCAAAAAUCAAUUACGAAUGGCUUGAUUUUGUGUUGUAUUGACCUUAUCAGCUUUCUGCACUUUUUUCGAGUUUUCUUAAUGCACUUUUUGGUUAACAAGUCAACAUCAAUUUCUUUUGUUGUAAAAGAGUAUUCGGAAGGUGGCUCUCUUUUCGGAGAAAGUGUUUAUAGCCCUAUACUUCUACAAUCGGAGAGAUUGAGGUCUGCAGCGUAGAUCCUUCGGGGUUAGAUACACUUGUGCUAAGUUGUAGCUUUUCAUAGACAACUUGUUGACUAUGUUUAGUCAUGCGGCUUACUCGCUUGUGCUAUUUUACCUACGCUUAGGAUGUUGAACUACUGAGACAUAGA
rnacentral:rRNA from 1 species